GUUAUCUAUUAUAUAUAACAAACAUGAAAGAUAUGGGCUGAUGUGGCAGCUUCUUAGAGCUUCUCACAAUGAGUUUUGGCGGGAAACUUCUCGGGUCAAGAUAUGGUACGCGGAGCAUGAUUGUUGAUGUAACCGACCCAUUAUUUCGGAUCUAUUAUAAAGGCAAUUUAAAACCUAUAUUCCCACAUUCAUGUCUCUAUUCUUUCAUUUUUUUCUGCCGUCAUCUACCAAAACCCUAAUGGAUCCUUCACCGCUACUUGAACCACACCAUACAAACUGCAGGUAUCAAUGUUCCAUCGUUAAUCUUGAAAGUAAGGGUUUUUAGUAAGAGAAAUUCCAUAAAUCGAACUCCGGCGAAACGGAUCAGAGCUAUGGUGAAAAUCCGAAUAUCCAGAUGUGCAAAAAUGUGGAAGAAGUUGUUGCUAAGAUUUCACAUGAACUUGGUCACUGGAAACUGAAUCACACAAUGUAUUCAUUCAUUGCUGUUCAGGUUCUUAUACUCUUGCAAUUUGGAGGUUACACACUUGUAAAGAACUCAAAGGAUCUAUUUAUGAGUUUCGGGUUUGAUACUCAACAAGUCCUCAUCGGGCUUAUAUUAUUCUAGUUAAAAAUCUUAAUACUGGAGCUCAUGAGUUGGUCAUGGAGGGAUAUAAUUGUGGAUGCAAGGAUGGAGUAUGCAAAAUUUCUCCAAGAAAUGGCUAAAGAAGUUCAAAAUUCACGAGAUAUAUAUAGAAUAUCAAAAGAUCUUGAUGAAUUUAUGAACAAGGUAGCCUAGGUCUUAGACUUUCAAUGUUCUAAGUUUUAGUUAUCAUACACUUUUAGAGAAAGUACUAAGAUGAAAUUCUGGGAUUUACCAAGUUGUUCAAUGAUGAGCUCACCUUGGAUAACAUCAGUAGACCUCGGUUGGUGAAUAUGUGCAAAUAUAAUGUCAUCAGCCCGUUUGGAACAGAUGCAUACGUGCGUUAUAUGCUUCGUAAGAGGCUGCAAGAAUGACAACAAGAUGAUCCAAGGAGUGGGUGUGGAGUCUCCGUCUGAAGAGGAGCUUCAUCAAGCAUGUUGGGAUCAUGGCUUACUUGGAUUGUGCUCGGUUGAUGAAAUGAGGGAGCAUGUUAUUUUGAAAUAACAAAUAAAUUUAAAUAUUUGUAUUAUCAUAACAAAAAAAUUAAAAGGGUUGAUACUUAUUAUUGCAGAUUCGUGAUUGGUUGACUUCUCCCUUAACCAUUCAAUACUAUUUUCAUUAUUGAUUCUUUCUAGGUAAAAUACUAAAUCAUUUUUAUUUUUUAUUUCUGGGCCAUCUAUAUUAUUGCUCUUUUUAUUAGGCAGUCAAAAGAAGCAUGAAAGUGAAGGAAGAAUACAGGUUAGGUGUUGACAUCAGAAGGAUGAUUUGGUACAAAAUAACUCGGAUAGUUAUGUUUCUAUGAGAGUAGUUAUUAUUACGCUAUAGUCUUACGUUGUAGUCUUGAAAUGGUUAUAAAGCAAUUUUUUUUAUCUUUGCGGUUAUAUUGUUUUCAGGCGAGGAGGGUCUUGCGUGCUUUGAGAAGGAUCUGGCGAAUGAAAUCAUCAACUCAAGGUCAAUCGGCUAAAUGUGAAGCAACCUCCACCUUGAAAUAUAUGCAGACAAUAGUUCGUGUACUGUCUCAGGUUUAGUCAAGACGCAUUCAUAUGUGUGAGGAAAACAUGGUUGUCAAACAACUCUUUUGGAAGUUUAAGAAAAAGCUCCGCAACAUUACAUGGCACCAAGCGAGAUAUUACAAAAGAUACCUCAUCAUUUGAGCAAGUGUUUGUUGUUAUACCAAGUUUGAAUGCCUUCAGCUGGGCCAGAUUAGUGAUUUAAUUGCCCGGGUGGAACUGUCGGGCAGCUCGGAUAAGUGAGUCUGGGGGCAUGGUGUGGGUGGGGAUUAAACAGUUCCAUCUUGCCGAGCAUUAUUAUCAAUUUAUCUGAGCAUGAUGUUCCAUUUUGUCCUUACGAUUGGGUUAAAUGGGCUCCAAAAAGUGUAUGUAUUUGCUUGGCUGGGUGUCCAAGACAGGAUAGUGACAAAAAGGAUUACGGAAACGUCACAUUCUUCAAGGGUCUUCAAUGUGUCGACUUUGUGGAGAACAAGAAGAAGACGCAGACCUUUUGUUUUCAUCGUGUUACGCGGCAACAAUUGCUUGGCAAAAGCUUAGUAAUUGGUUAAAAGUGCCUCAGAUUUUAGCUCUCAUGAUGAAGGACCUGUUGGUUAUCACAUAAGUCAGUAAUUGGACCGGGUAAAAGAAAAGUAGUGCAGAUGAUCAUAUUGGUGACUUGAUCUUUUCUAGCAAACGAGCAAGUGUUGGGGAAGUGCAGUGUACAACCUUUCUGUGGUACAAGCACAAGGUGAAAUGCAGGUGAAUUGAGUGGAGGAACUAGGUGAUGUUUGAUCUCAUAGAAUAGUCCUUUUGUAAUUCUGUUGUUUGGGUGAAUUUGUAUGGGUGGGUCGAGCGUUUGUGACCAGUAACUUGCUAGAACUAUGAUGUAAUCUUUUUUGUUGAGAAAUAAUAUUGCAGUCUGCCGUCCAAAAA